AACGCACAUUGCGCCUCCUGUAACAGGGAGGCAUGCCUGUCUGAGUCUCAUUUAACCUAUAGACCUGAAGGGGUUUGUGUCUGGGUGUUCGCCUGAUUGGCGUCGCCUCAAAGUCAUCUCUCUUAUGAGCGGAUGAGAUCCUCCUGGACUGACCGUUUGUGGGACAUGAAAUCUAUGAUUUGAGCUCAGAUCAGGUAGGACUACCGCCUGAACUUAA
rnacentral:misc_RNA from 1 species